rnacentral:rRNA from 1 species
UACGGGGGGGGGCAAGCGUUGUUCGGAAUUACUGGGCGUAAAGGGCUCGUAGGUGGCCAACUAAGUCAGACGUGAAAUCCCCAGGCUCAACUUGGGAACUGCGUCUGAUACUGGAUGGCUUGAAUUCGGGAGAGGGAUGCAGAAUUCCAGGUGUAGCGGUGAAAUGCGUAGAUAUCUGGAGGAAUACCGGUGGCGAAGGCGGCAUCCUGGACCGAGAUUGACACUGAUGAGCGAAAGCCAGGGGAGCAAACGGG